UACGUAGGGGGCAAGCGUUAUCCGGAAUUAUUGGGCGUAAAGAGCGCGUAGGCGGUUUAAUAAGUCUGAUGUGAAAGCCCACGGCUUAACCGUGGAGGGUCAUUGGAAACUGUUAAACUUGAGUGCAGAAGAGGGAAGUGGAAUUCCAUGUGUAGCGGUGAAAUGCGUAGAGAUAUGGAGGAACACCAGUGGCGAAGGCGGCUUCCUGGUCUGUAACUGACACUGAGGCGCGAAAGCGUGGGGAGCAAACAGG
rnacentral:rRNA from 1 species